GUCGCUUUGCCGGAGUGGUUAACGGGUUCGCCUGCUACUUGUUAGAUAAGCGGAUGCACAUUGUGCGCGAGUGUUCGAAUCGCUCAGGCGACG
rnacentral:tRNA from 1 species